AGUCCACUGUGGACGUGUCCCAAACCACAUAAACACCAUCAUCAGUCCACUGUGGACGUGACCCAAACCACAU